UACGUAGGGUGCGAGCGUUAAUCGGAAUUACUGGGCGUAAAGCGUGCGCAGGCGGUUUUGUAAGCCGGAUGUGAAAUCCCCGGGCUUAACCUGGGAAUGGCAUUCGGGACUGCAAGGCUGGAGUGCGGCAGAGGAGACUGGAAUUCCCGGUGUAGCGGUGAAAUGCGUAGAGAUCGGGAGGAACACCCGUGGCGAAGGCGGCGCUCUGGUCGGCAUCUGACGCUGAGAGGCGAAAGCGUGGGGAGCGAACAGG
rnacentral:rRNA from 1 species